AAACAAUGCAUCGAUCAUUUGCACAGUAAAUCUUUAAAUUGCUCUCAUGCUUCAUAAAAGCUCUCAUUCUCCAACUACUUGCAAGAUGUGAUGUCAUUCCUCAAUUU